rnacentral:rRNA from 1 species
GGUCAAGCUACAAAGAGCGCACGGCGGAUGCCUUGGCGCCAGGAGCCGAUGAAGGACGGGGUAAGCACCGAUAUGCCACGGGGAGCCGCAAGCAGGCAUCGAUCCGUGGAUUUCCGAAUGGGGCAACCCACCAUCCGUAAUGGGAUGGUAUCCAUACCUGAAUCCAUAGGGUAUGGAAGGUAACCGAGGGAACUGAAACAUCUAAGUACCUCGAGGAAGAGAAAUCAACCGAGAUUCCCUAAGUAGCGGCGAGCGAACGGGGAAGAGCCUAAACCGGUAGAAUGUUAAAGCCCGCAAGCGUUGUUUUACCGGGGUUGUACGGCUUACAGGAGCGAUUGCGGUAGCUCACAGCUGAAGUAGGCCUAGCCGAAGCGUGCUGGAAAGCACCACCAUAGCGAGUGAUAGUCUCGUAGGCGAAAGGCUGAGAUAGGCUGGUAAGUCCGUGAGUAGCACGGGACACGUGGAAUCCUGUGUGAAGCUGGGGGGACCACCCUCCAAGGCUAAAUACUACCUGGCGACCGAUAGCGAAUAGUACCGUGAGGGAAAGGUGAAAAGCACCCCGGGAGGGGAGUGAAAUAGAACCUGAAACCGUGUGCUUACAAGCAGUCGGAGGACGUUAAAGUCUGACGGCGUACUUUUUGUAGAACGGACCGGCGAGUUACGAUAGGCAGCGAGGUUAAGCAUGUGAGAUGCGGAGCCGCAGGGAAACCGAGUCUGAAUAGGGCGAAUAGUUGUCUGUCGUAGACCCGAAACCGGGUGAUCUAUCCAUGGCCAGGGUGAAGUUGAGGUAAAGCUCAAUGGAGGCCCGAACCCACUAGCGUUGAAAAGCUAGGGGAUGAGCUGUGGAUAGGGGUGAAAAGCCAAUCGAACCCGGAGAUAGCUGGUUCUCCUCGAAAUAGCUUUAGGGCUAGCCUCAGCAGUAGACUUAUGGAGGUAGAGCACUGAUUGAGCUAGGGGCCCCGAAAGGUUACCGAACUCUGUCAAACUCCGAAUGCCAUAAGUUGUUUGCUGGGAGUCAGACUGCGGGGGAUAAGCUCCGUAGUCGAGAGGGAAAGAGCCCAGACCGACAGCUAAGGUCCCCAAGUGCGAACUAAGUGGAAAAGGAUGUGGAACUGCACAGACAACCAGGAUGUUGGCUUAGAAGCAGCCAUUCAUUUAAAGAGUGCGUAAUAGCUCACUGGUCAAGUGGUUCUGCGCCGAAAAUGUAACGGGGCUAAAGUUCGCCACCGAAGCUUCGGAUGUGUUGGUUAUCUCUGUUAUCUCUCUGCGUAAGUGAACAAGGCAAGGAACAUUUCGUCAAAACGAACAACUGAUUUUCAAUCGGGGCGUUUUGACCAAAUCCCUAAGCUCAAGUUCGCUUUAGCAUCGGGAGGCAACAGAGAUAACCAGCACAUGGUAGAGGAGCGUUCCAACAGCGUAGAAGGUAGACCGAAAGGACUGCUGGAGCGGUUGGAAGUGAGAAUGCCGGUAUAAGUAGCGAGAAGAAGGGUGAGAAUCCCUUCCGCCGAAAGCCUAAGGAUUCCUGAGGAAGGUUCGUCCGCUCAGGGUAAGUCGGGACCUAAGGCGAGGCCGAAAGGCGUAGCUGAUGGACAACAGGUUGAGAUUCCUGUACCACCAAGCAUCGUUUGAGUGAAGUGGUGACACAGAAGGGUAGGCCAUCACCCUGAUGGAUUAGGGUGUCUAAGCGAGUAGGGAGCAAGGUAGGCAAAUCCGCCUUGCAUAAAUCCUGAGACGUGAUGGGGAGGCGAAAUUUAGUAGCCGAACUGGCUGAUCCCAUACUGUCGAGAAAAGCCACUAGCGAGAUGUGAGGUGCCCGUACCGCAAACCGACACAGGUAGGCGAGGAGAGAAUCCUAAGGCGCGCGAGAGAACCCCUGUUAAGGAACUCGGCAAAAUGACUCCGUAACUUCGGGAGAAGGAGUGCCUCAGUAGUGUGAAGCUUCUUGCAAGUAGAGCACGACCAGGCCGCAGAGAAAUGGCCCAAGCGACUGUUUAGCAAAAACACAGGUCUCUGCUAAGUGGAAACACGAAGUAUAGGGGCUGACGCCUGCCCAAUGCCGGAAGGUUAAGGGGAGAGGUUAGCGCAAGCGAAGCUUCGAACUUAAGCCCCGGUCAAUGGCGGCCGUAACUAUAACGGUCCUAAGGUAGCGAAAUUCCUUGUCGGGUAAGUUCCGACCUGCACGAAAGGCGUAACGACUUGGGCGCUGUCUCGACAGGGGGCUCGGCGAAAUUGUAGUACCUGUGAAGAUGCAGGUUACCCGCGACUAGACGGAAAGACCCCAUGGAGCUUUACUGUAGCCUGGUAUUGAAUUUUGGUAUGCACUGUAUAGGAUAGGUGGGAGACAUGGAAGCCGGGACGCCAGUUUCGGUGGAGUCACCAGUGGAAUACCACUCUUUGCAUGCUAGAGUUCUAACUAGAGGCCGUAAUCCGGUCAUAGGACAGUAUCAGGUGGGCAGUUUGACUGGGGCGGUCGCCUCCUAAAAGGUAACGGAGGCGCCCAAAGGUUCCCUCAGUGCGGAUGGAAAUCGCACUAAAGAGUGUAAAGGCAGAAGGGAGCUUGACUGCGAGACAGACAAGUCGAGCAGGUACGAAAGUAGGGCUUAGUGAUCCGGUGGUUCUGAGUGGAAGGGCCAUCGCUCAACGGAUAAAAGCUACCCUGGGGAUAACAGGCUUAUCUCCCCCAAGAGUUCACAUCGACGGGGAGGUUUGGCACCUCGAUGUCGGCUCGUCGCAUCCUGGAGCUGGAGCAGGUUCCAAGGGUUGGGCUGUUCGCCCAUUAAAGCGGUACGCGAGCUGGGUUCAGAACGUCGUGAGACAGUUCGGUCCCUAUCUGUCGCGGGCGUAGGAGAUUUGAGAGGAUCUGUCCCUAGUACGAGAGGACCGGGAUGGACGCACCGCUGGAAUACCAGUUGUACCGCCAGGUGCAUGGCUGGAUCACCAAGUGCGGACUGGAUAAGCGCUGAAAGCAUCUAAGCGCGAAGCCAACCUCAAGAUGAGAUCUCCCACAGCGUUAAGCUGGUAAGACCCCUUAUAGAUGAUGAGGUAGAUAGGCCAGAUGUGUAAGGGCAGCAAUGCCUUAAGCUGACUGGUACUAAUGGUUCGAGGGCUUGACCUA